ensembl:lncRNA
UUAGUGUUUUAUGUAAAUAGUUUAAUAUUAAAUAAAAAAAGACUCCCAUAUAAAAAGAAAGCUAAAGUCCACAAUUUAAUCUUCGUCUUUUUAAACACAAGUAUUGAAAACAAAAGGGUAGAAUGAGAAAAAUACUUAAUUACAAUUCCCAGAAAAAAAUUAACAUUUUGUCUUUUUCUCUUGUCUCUCCUUCUCUAACAAUAUAAAAUCAAAAUCAAAAGGCAUUAACUGUACAUAUGUACAAAUAUCCUAGUGUAGAAAUUGCAUAAUCUGCUAUCUUUUCCACUUCUAUUAUUUUUUUCAUUAAAUACAGCUAUUUAUCUUAGGGCAGGGCAGUGUGUUUGGAGAGCUCAAUCAGUGAUAUGAAGAAAACAGGUAGUCAGAGAUAAAGAUAGGAUGUCCACAGUAACACAACAUCACACUUUUUCAUUCAACUACAAUGACAUAACGGUAAUGAAAGUGUAUAGCUCAAAGUAUUCCUAUGCAUGUUCAAAGACUUCAUUCCACUUGAACAUUUAGGACUGUGGACAAUGGACAACCCACAUAUACACACACACACACACACACACACACACACACACACACACACGGUCUGGACAAUAUGACAAUGCACUGAGUGACAUCACAGUGUAGCUGGACAUUUUUGUAUCUUUUUUAAUAUUUUUCAUUUUCUUUUAAAUACAAAAAUAACCAAAAUUUGUAGCCAUAUAAAUCUAAAAUAAUUGUGGGAGUUUUGAAACGUAUUGAUAUUCAGAAGUGCCUCGAAAUGUGGGCGCGUCUACCCACGCAAUUUUGAAGACUUCAAGUUUAGCGUUUGCUGUUUUUCUCAUGUCCUACGGUAGGUCUUGUAGUAUGAACACAUAACCUCAUGAACAUUGCACCCCACAUUGCACAGCGACUUUGUAACAGACAUACAAAUAAAUAACCACAAAGGAGACAGUGAAAGCAUGAUAAAGAAAAAAAAAAAAGACAUGAUUGUUUUUUUCUUGGAAUGUGAAUACCGGUUAAAUUCAAACCGGUUUCAGAGAGAAAUAAACAGGUUUUCACUGGUGGUUCACAUUCAAAAUUAUUUCCACAAGCCUGACGAAAAAUAUAUAUAUACAUAUAGUUAUGUAUGUAUAUAUAAAGAUAACAAUGUUUUAAGGUUUUAAAAUUGUUUUAAAUAAAAGAUGGUUGUUCCCUUUUGACAUUUUUUCCUGACAUUUUUCCAAACCAUAGGAAAGACUUUUGAAGUAAAACCAGUGACUUUUUUUUCUUUUUUUUUUACCUUGGAUCGAGGUUGCACUUUGUCGAGUAACCGUGAAUUCAACCAAACCGUAACGCUACACAGAGGGCCGGACUAGAGAGGGCUCAGAAACAGCACUGUUGUCCAGCACACUGCCAAGAUGGACGCCAUACUCAUACAGAACACAUACACACACAAACACACAAACUGAUAUUCAUUUAUACUCACUCACUUUCAAUGGAGAGCAAACGUAUCAUUCAAGUAGAUGGGCUCAUCCUGACUCACAGUAAACACAAUGAGAGGAAACAGUACAUGUUCAUUUGCUUUUUUUCUUUUCUUAUCUUAUCUUGUCAACAUGACUCCACAGCCGUUCAUUGGCCGAUCCCUGACCAAACCAGCCAACCAUUAUUUUUUCUCUUUCCGAGAUCCAGGAGAGAAACUAAGUGAGCUAAAUCCCCUCUGGAUCCUUCUGUUUGUCUCAAUCUAGAGCUCUCCUAUGUUUCCAAUAGUGUUUUCCUUAAUAUCUGACAUGACAAAGGUAUAGUAUUAGUGCAGUUGUAAAAAAAUUAGAGAACAUUUCUUUAGACAGUAGACGGUGAUAGAAAAGGGAGAGGAAGGGUGAGGCGGGGAGUGUAGCCGAGGGGGGGAGGGCGUCGGACCAUCCUGAUUGGUCCACAGCACUGGAGUGACCUCUUCCUCUCCCACCAAUCACUGCCUCUGAGACCUGGCUCCACGUCGCCGCCGUCCCCGGACCGACCUCUCGGGCUUCAGCAGGACCGCCUGCGAGGCAUGAGCAUUCAGGGGCCACAGUUAGUACACACACACACA